AGAGUUUGAUCCUGGCUCAGAAUGAACGCUGGCGGCGUGCUUAACACAUGCAAGUCGCACGAGAACGCUUCAGCUUGCUGAAGCUAGUAAAGUGGCGCACGGGUGAGUAACGCGUGGGUAAUCUACCCCCGAAUUGGGGAUAACAUCGCGAAAGCGAUGCUAAUACCGAAUGAUAUCUUAAGAACCUCGGUUUUAAAGAUUAAAGGUGGCCUCUACAUGUAAGCUUCUGUUUGGGGAUGAGCCCGCGUACCAUUAGCUUGUUGGUAGGGUAAUGGCCUACCAAGGCUGCGAUGGUUAGCUGGUCUGAGAGGAUGAUCAGCCACACUGGAACUGACACACGGUCCAGACUCCUACGGGAGGCAGCAGUGAGGAAUUUUGCGCAAUGGGGGAAACCCUGACGCAGCAACGCCGCGUGAGUGAUGAAGGCUUUCGGGUCGUAAAGCUCUGUCAAGUGGGAAGAACCCACAUAGUGUUAAUACCACUAUGUGUUGACGGUACCACUGAAGGAAGCACCGGCUAACUCCGUGCCAGCAGCCGCGGUAAUACGGGGGGUGCAAGCGUUAUUCGGAAUUACUGGGCGUAAAGAGCGCGUAGGCGGUCUUUUAAGUCAGGUGUGAAAGCCCGGGGCUCAACCCCGGAAGUGCACUUGAAACUAAGGGACUUGAGUAUGGGAGAGGGAAGUGGAAUUCCUGGUGUAGCGGUGAAAUGCGUA
rnacentral:rRNA from 1 species